CCGACCUUAGCUCAGUUGGUAGAGCGGAGGACUGUAGUAUCCUUAGGUCACUGGUUCGAAUCUGGUAGGUUUGA
rnacentral:tRNA from 1 species